rnacentral:snRNA from 1 species
AUUGCUUCUCAGCCUUUUAGCUAAGAUCAAGUG